rnacentral:lncRNA from 1 species
CUAAUUCAUGCCUCUCUCCUCUCUUCUCUUCUUCUUCUUUACUCCCGCCCAAAAUACUUCCCCAUAUUUUGCCCAAAUAAUGGGCUCUCGUUCAGCCCCAAUAGAAGAUCUUAGUGUUGAUUGAGGGUGCAAAAACGUUGUUCUUUCUCUUAGUCUCACUUUUCGCAAAAACAUAUGCAUAAGACAUGUCAAUUAUGACCUACGAUGAAACGAACGGGCAAUCGUUGAGGUCUUGCGAUGAGAUGAUAUCCAUUACGAGUCAUGGCUAGUAAAGUACAGAAAAUCAUACAACGCUUUGGGAGAAAAGGAGAAGAGGUUCGAGAUCUUUUAGGAUAAUUUAAGGUACAUAGAUAAGCAGAACAGCAUGGCAAAUCGGACCCAUAAACUGGGUUUGAACUGAUUCACUGAUCUCACCAGUGAGGAGAACUGGUCCAUGUAUUUGGUGCUAGGAAGACGAAGAGUGAUCAAUAUAAACCGAAAGAUGGCAACAACUUGCCAGGAUCCAUUGACUGGAGAGACAAAGGCGCGGCCGCUUUGGUGAAAGAUCAAGGCAACUGCGGUAUGCCCUUUUAUUUAUUAUUCCAUAGAAAAUUUCUCAAUUAGAUUUUAUACAGCUUUAAAGUAUAGUGAAAAUUAAUCCAUUUUGUUGAAUAAAAAAAAAAAAAGGGAAUUGGUCCAAAUUAAUCCAUUUUAUGGUGAUUAGGCUUAAUCAGCUGGCUUAGUGGGAAAUUAUGGUUGUUCUGUCAAAUAACUUGGUCCAGCAAGUAAUUGAGCAUACUAUAAAAUAAAAUAAAAACCAUUGAGGCUGGAGAAAUCGGUAUGGAUUUAAUCCUUCUUCUUGGGUUUCAGUUUCUUACUUCUGAAUUUUUAUUACGGUUUAACAUCGUUUGAUUAAUUAGUUGUUCUAUUUUCCCCCUUUUGUUUUUGAUGUUUGAAGCCUUUAAUUAUGUC